rnacentral:lncRNA from 10 species
UCGUCCAGGCUGGAGUGCAGUGGCACGAUCUCGGCUCACUGCAACCUCUGCUUCCCGGGUUCAAGGGAUUCUUCUACCUCAGCCUCCUGAGUAGCUGGGACUACAGGCGCACGCCACCAUGCCCUGCUAAUUUUUGUAUAUUUGGUAGGGACAGGGUUUCACCAUAUUGGCCAGGCUUGUCUCGAACUCCUGACCCCGUGAUCUGCCCGCCUCAACCUCCCAAAGUCCUGGGAUUACAGGCGCGAACCACCGCACCCGGCUUGUGGCUCCAUCUUUGAGCCUGGGGCCCUGCUACCUUCCAAUAGCCUACAAGCUUGGGUUGCUCAUUGCCUGGUUGCCAAUCUUUGCCACCUGCCAGGAGACCUCAGGGCUUUUUCAGGACCAUUGUGUCCACAUAGUCCGGAAGCCCUUCUGCCUGACGCUCUGGACUUCCAGCCCCUCUGGGUUGUGUCUGUUCCUUUGGGGCCUGCACCACCCACUGGGGGGCUGUCCCACACCUAGUCUUCCUCAUCCUGCUGCGGUUCCCUGGGCCACAUCUUGAGAUAUGAUACAGAAUUAUUGAGUAGUGAAGCCAGGACUCUUAACUUCUGAGCCAGCAUUUUUUUGAUUGAGUCAUGCUUUGUCUUUUGUUUCCUGUUUGUUCUAGGUCUGCCACUUCCUAGCAGUGUAAAUUUGGGCAAACUCUGGGCAACAUUCCUAUUGGAAGAAAAAUCAGGAUGAUCAUACCAACUUCCAAGGGUCGUUAGGAGGAUUAAUGAGAUAAAAGAGCUGGUGGUAUAUACUUGGCACUCAAAACUGUUUAACCUUCCCUGAAGGCUCUUCUGUAACCUCUCAUCCCUUUUUUACUAAUUGCCUGCUUUUCCCCUGUGUGAUAGGGGCUUACUGCAGGGACACAUACAUUUGUGGGCAGGCAUUGGAACAGCACUGGGAUGUCGCUCCACCUGUCUUCACUCACUGACAAGAAAAGUGGUGGGCAUACCUUUGAAAGUAGGAUCACAUCUUCAGACUGGAAGCUCCUGGGGAAAUGACGCUACCAUUGCCCCCUAAAACACAAGGCAGAAGUGGAGUUCAACAUACAGAUACCAAGAGAAACAGUGUUCGUAUUUUGAAUACUCUGAGGAUGCUGCAAAACAGAGUUUAAGGUAAUAAAAAAAGCACACAUACACAUCUACAUGUAGACUCUUUCAGAAACUACUCCUGGGCCUUCCCUCUGCUCUUCUCUUUCUCCAAGGCUAUAGCAGGUUGAGGUCAUAAAGAGGCCUGAGAAGAGCGAGUGAUGCAGGGUCGAUAUUCAGGUCAGGUUGGAAGGGGUGCAGCCAGGUGUGCCCUGGCGUUCUAUGAGCUUCCGGGAUGUGAUACUUGCCAGGUCUCAUCAGUGAACACCAUAAAGCUUUUUAUUGAGAAGAAAAUUGUUGCUAACUACUAAAGUUACUUACAAAAUGUUUGUUGAAUAAGUGAGGGAGAGAGGGAGGAAAAGAAAAAGAGGAAGAACAGAGAAGAAAGUUGGUGGGGAGAGGCUAGUGGAAGCUCUGACAGCAUGUUUUGAACCCUCAGAAGACUGGGAAGGUUAAACUGUAUCGACAGGCAUCUUGCUUUCCCCAGCCUUGCUUACAGUGGAUGCUCAAUACAGACUUGAGUGAUUAAUACAGUGACGAGAAAAAUGGAACUGCAACCUUUUAAUUUCUUAAUUGGUGGCCAUAACGUGAUGGCUGACUGCCAAAAGGCUAAUGGUUGUCUGCAUUCGGGUGAUAUUUUUCUAAAGGUUAACUCGCCUUGCCCAGCCCUCCUAUGUAGAAGAAAGAUCAGACAAAGCCUUCGGUCUGUUCCUUGCCAUUAUCCAGCCAGGCUGCCCUCCCAAUGGCUGCAUUGGCACGAGCGCCCAUGUCAGAGCUGUGAACAGUUUCCUUGUCGAGGCCAAGUGGGAUUACAGACUUGGAUUCCUGUCUGUGCCCUUAUUCUAAGAACCCAGGGUUUCUAGUGCAUUUCCACACAUGUGGUUAGGGAUGGGAAUAGGAACAUGCAUUUUAAAUGACAGAGAGAAACAGCAAGAAAGGUUUAAUAAAAUCAGGUAGAAAUCAAGAUUAUGGGGACUAUUCUGCUCACACAGUUAUUGUAACCGCUGAGCUAUCAUCAGGAAGAAGUUAGCUCACAAACCUAUUGUUUAGCUACUGGCGCAUUCCAGAAAGAGUGACUGUAAGUGUUGGUAGUACUUUAGGGUGAAUUAUCUUUUCCUUUGGUACUUUCUGCCUCCUUCCAUAGCAGACAUUCAUCUUCUGUACAUGUGGACAUAAUGAGCGCAGAAAAUGCUAAGCCUGGAGAGUGUGGGGUGGCUCUGGCAUGCAGUCCUGUUGGGACAAAUAUUGUAGAAAGUCCAGACUCCCCACUGGAAGUCAGUGUCAGAAGAGAGGCUCCAAUCCCACUAGAAAUAAAUCUUUUUCUUUGUGAUAAACCUAAAGAACAACACUCGCUACUUCCAGAAAAUCUUCCUUAGAGGUAUUCAGAGGAAUGAGAAAUACAGUGCUGUGGUGUACUAAAAUAUUGCCAUGAUGAAUACUAAACUUUUGAAUUUGAAAUAUUAUGAAAUUCAACAGACAUCAAAACUUUUGCAGAAAACCACAUGAUAUCUGUAGAGCUCCACAUGCACUAAAACAUUAUUUUUUCAGAUGAUAAUAUUCGAAAGCAACGAGAAUCUUAAAAACUCUCCAGGGAAACGGUCACAUUGGCUGCCCUUGCAAUGAAUUUGUCAACAUGUUUUAUUUGGCUUUAACAUUUUAAAUAUAAAUGUCUUCAGUUUUGCUAUCAAGUCCUGUUUCCUCACAACCCUGUCUGGUUUCACUCAUUUCCAGUUCCUUCUUGUCUCCUCCUGGAUGUUAUUAAUCUGAUGCUUGAUUGGUACUCAGUGUCUUUAUUUUAAAGGUGAAGGUCCAGAGAGGUGAAGUGAUUGAACUAAAGCCGCAGAGCCAAUUAAUGCCCAAGCAAAGAUGAACACGCCCUCCUCCACCGUGUGGAGGAACUCAUCCUCCUUUCACCGAAGGAUGCUCUCUCCUUAUUUUUUAAUCCUACCAACAAAGAACGGAGCUAUUCUGAUGUAUUUUUAAAUAGCAUGCUAUUUUAGACUGCUGUAGAAAUUCAUAAAUAUAUAAAAUGAUAUCUGCAGAAUGACAACCCUGGACCAAUAUCUAAACAAGAACCUUUAACUUCCGAUGACUCCCUCAUUUGGGUGGGUAGGGAUGGGGCAAAGGUGCAUGGCGAGGGUGCUUGGUGGCCCAUGGCAGUCCUCCUCACCUCCCUCUCUAAAGUUGCUCUGGGGUGAGCAGGUGUGGGGUCAGGUCUACUUCUGGGAACGCUUUUUGCUGUAGGCAGCCCUUUUGGAGAUAGAGGGAGGUUUUGAAAAGGAGAGGAAAGUUUUAUCCCUUCCAUCCUCUGAAAGUGCGCAUAUCCCUGGUGGGGAUAUCAGGGUUUUAUUCUGUAUAUAAAAACAAAUUUUGUAUCUGUUAUCACAUUUCUUUAAAAAGACUAGAUAGAUUUUCACUAAAGCCAGGGGACAGUUUGGGUUGGGCUGAUUUCAAAUAAUGCUGUGACACAUACAUGGGGGAUGUCAAAGAGAUUAACCCCUGAGAGGUGUGACUGGAGGAGCCCUUGGAUGGUUCCCACCCUCAGGGAUGAUGAGUGGCUGCAGGCUCCCACUGAGUAGCCCGUGAGUCCUACCUAGAAUCUGCUAAGGUCUGAAUCAGCAUCUGAAACUGGACCAAGACACCGAGGUUUUUAAGGACUUGCAGUGAAGCUGGAAGACCAUUGAUGAAGGGCUUAGCUGAAAAUGAGCUGACUGUGACAAUGGGACUUAGAAUGCACCCACGGGCUUGGGAGUCGUGUGCACUUGCUUGCAUUCCUGUGUGUGCACCCAUGUGUGUGUGCAUGUGUGGUGGGGUGCAGUGGCAGGAAGUAGUUCCUAGAAAAAAAAAAAACAUUGAACUUCGUUAAGGGCACAGCUCCAGUGGAGGCAAGGUCACAGCCCACUAACAGUAUUCAACCUGGUUGUUCCUGACUGUGCCACUUGGCCACCUGUUGCUUUCAGGUCACAAGCUUCCAAGCCCCAACCUAACCCACAGCAGACAGAUGCUUGUUUUAAUGUGGUUGUGCUGCUCCCAGGUAGGAGCUGGCAAUCUUUUGAAUAAAGCAGUGAGAAGGGCUCUGGCUUUCCCUGCAUUGUUUCCUGAAAACUUUUCCACUGAGAUUACACAAUAGAGGAAAGAAUAAUUGCGGCAAGAGAAAGUUUAAAUACUACUCAUAUUAUUUACGCAAACACAGAGUCUGCCAAAGAAGUACAGUGAAUGUCCACAAAACUUCCUCUCAAAGAUUUUUCCCUUGAAAUUAAAGAGAAUAAUUGAGGCAAAAAGUUAAUUUUCUUUUGAGUUACCUGGAAUAUUGCCUUGUUUUCUGCUUUUUUGUGCAGACAUAGAAUUAGGCCAGUCAAUCGUAGAGAAAAUGUGGAGAAAUACUCAUCUUUGAAUAAAAAGACUGGCUUUGAAAAUUAACCUAAAUUUGUUUUAUCUUACACUGUUCUAUGCAAACUACUGCCCUGCAAAUGAAAGUGUGACAGUGGUUAUUGUCAGACAUGGGAAAAUAUAUUCAAAGAGAUUUCCUGGUAGAUUUCAUGCUUUAUUUUAUACUGAAUACAAUUUAGCCCAUUACAAUAGUUGGAAAAUCCAAAGGUAAAUACAUGUAAAGUCUUUAAAGCAUGAUUUUAGUUUUUAAAGUACUGUUAAGCCUCACUAAUUUAUUUUAAAAAACAAACAAGGCUGGAAUGCCAAUAUUAACACCAACAUUUGCAUUCAGAAUCCAUUCUCCUUUGAAGAAAUCACCACACAAAUAUUUCCAGUUCCGCUUUACCUCCCUGUCCUAAAGUCAAUAUCCAGGAGUGAGAAAUGAAACAGAGGAUAGAGAUGCCGGCUCUAACUAUGACUGUGAAAUAGAUGGAACUUUUCUUCAGGUCCUUUCUUCUGGGCUGUUCUUUUUCUCUCCCAUCCCUUGGGGACUCUGGUGACAUUCCUCUCUUCCCUUUAGCCAGCUGAAGCUCUCAAAUUGAUCCCCAAUUACCCCAAGUUUUCCGUGACAUUGAUUUCAUCCUCUGCAAAAAAAAAAAAAAAAAAACCAAACAAAAAAAAAACACAAAAAAACCUUCCCCUUGCCCUCUGUCCCAACAAAAUGUUUGCAGGGCAUCUACCCAGUCCAGGUGAUAAAGAAGUGAAAAUAAGGCAGAGCUUUGCCACUGGGGCUCUUCCCCAGCCAAACAGCACACGCAUCUCAGAAGAGGCCUUGAGCCCCCAGAAAGAUUGAGUCGUGUAAAAAUGAGCAGCACUAUUAUCAGGGUCAGUGGUAAAACAUUUUGUGGAAGGGCAUGUUAUGAACUGAAUGUGUCCUUUUGAAAUUCCUGUGUUAAAACCCUAAUACCCCCAUGGUAUUAGGAGGUGGUCAGGACGUGAGGAAGGACCCCCAUGAAUGGGAUGACUCUCCUUAUAAAAAGAGACAGGAGGGAACCCACUUCCUCUCUCUCUGCUCUCCUCCAUGUGAGGAUAUAGUGAGAAGGCUGCCUGUAAACCAGAAAGUGGGCCCUCAGCAGACAGUGGGUUUUUCAAUACCAUGGACUGUCCAGUCUUGAGAACUGUGAGAAAUAAAUGUCUGUUGUUGAAGCCACCCAGUCCAUGGUGAUUUGUUGUAGCCGCCAGAACAGACUAAGAUUUAAGGCAGUUUUUUCACUGUUCCUUAGGUCAUACCUCCUGGAUGAUGGCUCAGCUUCCAGCUUUCCACCUAGACCUAGUGUAGGCAAGAUGGGCCCCAUCUACCUAAAAGCCUCCCAACUUGUUCUCCGUCCUCAUCACUUGCUUUUCCAGCCCACUUGUCCCACACAUUCUGGUGAAUGACCAUCUUUCUGCAGGUGAAUGACAGGCCAUUCUCCUCUCAAAGACCCUCACUGAUUUCCCAUCACCUAUCUAUGAAUUCCAGACUCCUUAUUCUGUCUCUCUAGAUGGCCUGUGGGCUGGGUCCAUCUGCUUCCCCAGCCUUCUGUUUGACUGCACCCUGGUACACAUCCUGUGCUCUCAUGACGCCACAUGACUUAUGAUUUCUCAAUCAAUUCCUCACUUUUCUACUUCAUGGUCAUGCCUUUCCUGGACUCUCUCUGCCUCCAUUCUCUGCUUGCAAACUGUCCAUUCAUGUGCUGCUUUCUCCAUGGGAAUGCAGCGUGAGCCCCGAUCCAAUCAACUUGAGCUCCCAGAGCAUGUGCCCCAUCUUCCUCAGUGGUUCUCAUGGGAAGAGGUGCUUGUCACAAUUAUUUGAGGAGUUUCCUCGAACAAUUCCUAACUUUCCUUUCCUUCUCCCAAAAUCACUUCAUAAAGCUCCUCAGUGAUUCGCUACCUCCCUGAGGUGGAAAGAUUGCACACUAUUGCUUUGAUUAUUCAAGAGGUCUCAUUACCUGAAUAUUCAUAAUCCCAGGCAUUAUAAUUAUAGCACUCCACAGAGAAGUAAAAUAUUAUCAAUAAAUUGACCACUUACACAAUUAGCUCCCUCAAUCAUGCCUCCCUGACUAAUACUAUCUUGGUAGUAUCUGCUGGAAAGCCUAGCUGAUUUUUGGAUGGCAUUUCAAUGCAAAGUGAUUACAAAAUGAAGAUGAAAAGAUGGAGAAUUUCAUGAAGUUGAUUAAACCGAUGCUGGUGAUGCUGGGGAACUCUAAAUCACAAGCAAGAAAAGUGAAAAUCAGUGUAUGAAGGCCAGAUAAUUGAAGAAAAAAUCUAAAAGUGAUAAUUAAUGUCAUGGUAGCUCCUCCUAGAGAGAAUGAUUUGAAGAGAAUUGAGUAAGAAAUGCUUAUGGAAUAGCUGGUGAAACUUGUGUGUGUGUUUAAAUAACUCUCUUUAUGAGCAUGCUGUGAAAGCCAAAGAGGAAGUGAAAGAUAUUUCGCCAUGCCAGUAUAUAAACUGUUGAUAAGAUGAUGCCCAUACCCUCCAUCAAUGUGUAAUUAUUUGUUCUAUGAAUCAGUGUACGGUGUAAGUCAAAACCAUGUCUUAUUAAAUAUAAUAAAACAAAUGUAUUUUCAUAAUGCUUAGUUUUAUUUUUCAAAAUAAAGAUAACUUUUUUAGCUCUAUGAGGUUUGGCUCUUAUGAGAGCUAUUGUAACUUGUUCUUCUUUGGCAUUAAUUUUCCUCAAAUACUAAGGACCUCCUCUAGUUAGUUACUCAGAUGACUACAUACCUAAUUAGGCAGUAAGCUCCUUGCAGACAUCAUUGAAUCAUCAAUGAAGAUGCCAAUCUUCAUUCUUAUAUCGAUAGCGCAUAACUAAUAUCCAAGAGAGACUGAAUGAAGGUGAGCUAGUUAAAAUUAAUAGUGAAUGUAAAAAUUGGUUUGGUUUUCUUUUGAGAAUUAGGUUUUCUUGGGCUUCAAAAAAGCAGUUGAG